GGUCCGUUCGUCUAUCGGUUAGGACGCAAGAUUUUCAUUCUUGAAAGAUGAGUUCGACUCUCAUACGGACUA
rnacentral:tRNA from 1 species